AGUGAACGCUGGCGGCGUGCUUAACACAUGCAAGUCGAACGAGAACGGAAUAUAGCUUGCUAUAUUUGUCAGCUAAGUGGCGCACGGGUGAGUAAUGUAUAGAUAACCUGCCCUUAAGAAAGGAAUAACAGUUGGAAACGACUGCUAAUGCCCUAUAUGCCUUUAAUACAUAAGUAUGCAAGGGAAACGCUUUAGUGCUUAAGGAUGGGUCUGUAUGGUAUCAGCUUGUUGGUGAGGUAAUGGCUCACCAAGGCUAUGACGCCUAACUGGUUUGAGAGGAUGAUCAGUCACAAUGGAACUGAGACACGGUCCAGACUCCUACGGGAGGAAGCAGUGGGGAAUAUUGCACAAUGGACGAAAGUUUGAUGCAGCAACGCCGCGUGGAGGAUGACACAUUUCGGUGCGUAAACUCCUUUUAUAUAGGAAGAUAAUGACGGUACUAUAUGAAUAAGCACCGGCUAACUCCGUGCCAGCCGCCGCCGUAA
rnacentral:rRNA from 1 species